rnacentral:rRNA from 1 species
UACGUAGGGUGCAAGCGUUUAAUCGGAAUUACUGGGCGUAAAGCGUGCGCAGGCGGUUUUUGUAAGUCUGUCGUGAAAGCCCCGGGCUCAACCUGGGAAUUGCGAUGGAGACUGCAAGGCUUGAAUCUGGCAGAGGGGGGUAGAAUUUCCACGUGUAGCAGUGAAAUGCGUAGAGAUGUGGAGGAACACCGAUGGCGAAGGCAGCCCCCUGGGUCAAGAUUGACGCUCAUGCACGAAAGCGUGGGGAGCAAACAGG